rnacentral:rRNA from 1 species
AGAGACAGCAGCCGCCGCGGUAAUACGUAGGUGGCAAGCGUUGUCCGGAAUUAUUGGGCGUAAAGGGCUCGCAGGCGGUUUCUUAAGUCUGAUGUGAAAGCCCCCGGCUCAACCGGGGAGGGUCAUUGGAAACUGGGAAACUUGAGUGCAGAAGAGGAGAGUGGAAUUCCACGUGUAGCGGUGAAAUGCGUAGAGAUGUGGAGGAACACCAGUGGCGAAGGCGACUCUCUGGUCUGUAACUGACGCUGAGGAGCGAAAGCGUGGGGAGCGAACGGGAUUAGAUACCCGCGUAGUCCCUGUCUCUUAUAC